rnacentral:rRNA from 1 species
GUUAAGCGACUAAGCGUACACGGUGGAUGCCCUGGCAGUCAGAGGCGAUGAAGGACGUGCUAAUCUGCGAUAAGCGUCGGUAAGGUGAUAUGAACCGUUAUAACCGGCGAUUUCCGAAUGGGGAAACCCAGUGUGUUUCGACACACUAUCAUUAACUGAAUCCAUAGGUUAAUGAGGCGAACCGGGGGAACUGAAACAUCUAAGUACCCCGAGGAAAAGAAAUCAACCGAGAUUCCCCCAGUAGCGGCGAGCGAACGGGGAGCAGCCCAGAGCCUGAAUCAGUGUGUGUGUUAGUGGAAGCGUCUGGAAAGGCGCGCGAUACAGGGUGACAGCCCCGUACACAAAAAUGCACAUGCUGUGAGCUCGAUGAGUAGGGCGGGACACGUGGUAUCCUGUCUGAAUAUGGGGGGACCAUCCUCCAAGGCUAAAUACUCCUGACUGACCGAUAGUGAACCAGUACCGUGAGGGAAAGGCGAAAAGAACCCCGGCGAGGGGAGUGAAAAAGAACCUGAAACCGUGUACGUACAAGCAGUGGGAGCACGCUUAGGCGUGUGACUGCGUACCUUUUGUAUAAUGGGUCAGCGACUUAUAUUCUGUAGCAAGGUUAACCGAAUAGGGGAGCCGAAGGGAAACCGAGUCUUAACUGGGCGUUAAGUUGCAGGGUAUAGACCCGAAACCCGGUGAUCUAGCCAUGGGCAGGUUGAAGGUUGGGUAACACUAACUGGAGGACCGAACCGACUAAUGUUGAAAAAUUAGCGGAUGACUUGUGGCUGGGGGUGAAAGGCCAAUCAAACCGGGAGAUAGCUGGUUCUCCCCGAAAGCUAUUUAGGUAGCGCCUCGUGAAUUCAUCUCCGGGGGUAGAGCACUGUUUCGGCAAGGGGGUCAUCCCGACUUACCAACCCGAUGCAAACUGCGAAUACCGGAGAAUGUUAUCACGGGAGACACACGGCGGGUGCUAACGUCCGUCGUGAAGAGGGAAACAACCCAGACCGCCAGCUAAGGUCCCAAAGUCAUGGUUAAGUGGGAAACGAUGUGGGAAGGCCCAGACAGCCAGGAUGUUGGCUUAGAAGCAGCCAUCAUUUAAAGAAAGCGUAAUAGCUCACUGGUCGAGUCGGCCUGCGCGGAAGAUGUAACGGGGCUAAACCAUGCACCGAAGCUGCGGCAGCGACGCUUAUGCGUUGUUGGGUAGGGGAGCGUUCUGUAAGCCUGCGAAGGUGUGCUGUGAGGCAUGCUGGAGGUAUCAGAAGUGCGAAUGCUGACAUAAGUAACGAUAAAGCGGGUGAAAAGCCCGCUCGCCGGAAGACCAAGGGUUCCUGUCCAACGUUAAUCGGGGCAGGGUGAGUCGACCCCUAAGGCGAGGCCGAAAGGCGUAGUCGAUGGGAAACAGGUUAAUAUUCCUGUACUUGGUGUUACUGCGAAGGGGGGACGGAGAAGGCUAUGUUGGCCGGGCGACGGUUGUCCCGGUUUAAGCGUGUAGGCUGGUUUUCCAGGCAAAUCCGGAA